AUAUAUAUAUAUAUAUAUAUAUAUAUAUGUAUAUAGUGUCUAUUUUACACCACUGAAUCUAUGUGGUUCCAUUUGGACCCAAGAUACCAAACUUAUUUUGUCGACGUUGGCGGAGUGCGUCAAGCCUGCAUUUCACCUCCGCCAUGGGUCGGCCUGUUAUUGCACCAUCUCCUGGAUCGGCCCACGCAUU